rnacentral:tRNA from 1 species
UUUUAUAUAGUAUAUAUAUAUAUUACAUUUUAUUUCCAAUAAAAAAAAUUAAAUAUUUUAAUAUAAAAA